rnacentral:rRNA from 1 species
UACGGAGGGGGCUAGCGUUGUUCGGAAUUACUGGGCGUAAAGCGCACGUAGGCGGCUUUGUAAGUUAGAGGUGAAAUCCCAGAGCUCAACUCUGGAACUGCCUUUAAGACUGCAUCGCUAGAAUUGUGGAGAGGUAAGUGGAAUUCCGAGUGUAGAGGUGAAAUUCGUAGAUAUUCGGAAGAACACCAGUGGCGAAGGCGACUUACUGGACACAUAUUGACGCUGAGGUGCGAAAGCGUGGGGAGCAAACAGG